rnacentral:rRNA from 1 species
UACGAAGGGUGCAAGCGUUACUCGGAAUUACUGGGCGUAAAGCGUGCGUAAGUGGUGAGUUAAGUCUGUCGUGAAAGCCCCGGGCUCAACCUGGGAAUGGCGAUGGAUACUGGCUCGCUAGAGUGCGGUAGAGGAGAGUGGAAUUCCCGGUGUAGCAGUGAAAUGCGUAGAGAUCGGGAGGAACACCAGUGGCGAAGGCGGCCUCUGGACCAAUACUGACGCUCAUGCACGAAAGCGUGGGGAGC